rnacentral:rRNA from 1 species
CCCAUAAGGACUAGGGACAAUCCCAGGAAACCGGGGCUAAUACCGGAUAACAUUUUGAACCGCAAGGUUCGAAAUUGAAAGGCGGCUUCGGCUGUCACUUAUGGAUGGACCCGCGUCGCAUUAGCUAGUUGGUGAGGUAACGGCUCACCAAGGCAACGAUGCGUAGCCGACCUGAGAGGGUGAUCGGCCACACUGGGACUGAGACACGGCCCAGACUCCUACGGGAGGCAGCAGUAGGGAAUCUUCCGCAAUGGACGAAAGUCUGACGGAGCAACGCCGCGUGAGUGAUGAAGGCUUUCGGGUCGUAAAACUCUGUUGUUAGGGAAGAACAAGUGCUAAUUGAAUAAGCUGGCACCUUGACGGUACCUAACCAGAAAGCCACGGCUAACUACGUGCCAGCAGCCGCGGUAAUACGUAGGUGGCAAGCGUUAUCCGGAAUUAUUGGGCGUAAAGCGCGCGCAGGUGGUUUCUUAAGUCUGAUGUGAAAGCCCACGGCUCAACCGUGGAGGGUCAUUGGAAACUGGGAGACUUGAGUGCAGAAGAGGAAAGUGGAAUUCCAUGUGUACCGGUGAAAUGCGUAUAGAUAUGGAGGAACACCAGUGGCGAAGGCUACUUUUGGUCUGUAACUGACACUGAGGCGCGAAAGCGUGGGGAACAGCAGGAUAACAUACCCUGGGUACUCCACGCCUUAAACGAUGAGUGCAAGUGUUAGAAGGUUUCCG